rnacentral:rRNA from 1 species
GAUGAACGCUGGCGGCGUGCCUAAUACAUGCAAGUCGAGCGAACAGACAAGGAGCUUGCUCCUCUGACGUUAGCGGCGGACGGGUGAGUAACACGUGGAUAACCUACCUAUAAGACUGGGAUAACUUCGGGAAACCGGAGCUAAUACCGGAUAAUAUAUUGAACCGCAUGGUUCAAUAGUGAAAGACGGUUUUGCUGUCACUUAUAGAUGGAUCCGCGCCGCAUUAGCUAGUUGGUAAGGUAACGGCUUACCAAGGCAACGAUGCGUAGCCGACCUGAGAGGGUGAUCGGCCACACUGGAGCUGAGACACGGUCCAGACUCCUACGGGAGGCAGCAGUAGGGAAUCGUCCGCAAUGGGCGAAAGCCUGACGGAGCAACGCCGCGUGAGUGAUGAAGGUCUUCGGAUCGUAAAACUCUGUUAUUAGGGAAGAACAAAUGUGUAAGUAACUAUGCACGUCUUGACGGUACCUAAUCAGAAAGCCACGGCUAACUACGUG